rnacentral:rRNA from 1 species
AGCGAACGCUGGCGGCAGGCCUAACACAUGCAAGUCGAACGAACUCUUCGGAGUUAGUGGCGGACGGGUGAGGAACACGUGGGAACGUGCCUUUUGGUUCGGAAUAACUCAGGGAAACUUGUGCUAAUACCGAAUGUGCCCUUCGGGGGAAAGAUUUAUCGCCAUUAGAGCGGCCCGCGUCUGAUUAGCUAGUUGGUGAGGUAACGGCUCACCAAGGCGACGAUCAGUCGCUGGUCUGAGAGGAUGACCAGCCACACUGGGACUGAGACACGGCCCAGACUCCUACGGGAGGCAGCAGUGGGGAAUCUUGCGCAAUGGGCGAAAGCCUGACGCAGCCAUGCCGCGUGAAUGAUGAAGGUCUUAGGAUUGUAAAAUUCUUUCACCGGGGACGAUAAUGACGGUACCCGGAGAAGAAGCCCCGGCUAACUUCGUG